rnacentral:rRNA from 1 species
AGAGUUUGAUCCUGGCUCAGAACGAACGCUGGCGGCGUGGAUAAGACAUGCAAGUCGAACGAAGAAUUUCAAUAGCUUGCUAAUGAGAUUCUUAGUGGCGGACGGGUUAGUAACACGUGAGAAUCCUACCCUUGAGUGGGGAAUAGCCUUUCGAAAGGAAGAUUAAUGCCCCAUAGUCUCUACGGAGUAAAGAUGCCUUCGGGUGUCGCUUAAGGAUGGGCUCGCGGCCUAUCAGCUAGUUGGUGAGGUAAGAGCUCACCAAGGCAACGACGGGUAGCUGGUCUGAGAGGACGAUCAGCAACACUGGAACUGAGACACGGUCCAGACACCUACGGGUGGCAGCAGUCGAGAAUCAUUCACAAUGGACGAAAGUCUGAUGGUGCAACGCCGCGUGGAGGAUGACGGCCCUAGGGUUGUAAACUCCUGUCAUCAGGGAGUAAGACUUAUUCGUUAAUAGCGUGUAAGUUUGAUAGUACCUGAAGAGGAAGGGACGGCUAACUUCGUGCCAGCAGCCGCGGUAAUACGAAGGUCCCAAGCGUUGUUCGGAAUAACUGGGCGUAAAGCGUGUGUAGGCCGCGCGGAAAGUCGGAUGUGAAAGCCCAAGGCUCAACCUUGGAACUGCAUCCGAUACUCCCGUGCUAGAGUAAUGGAGAGGUAAGUGGAAUUCUCGGUGUAGCAGUGAAAUGCGUAGAUAUCGAGAGGAACAUCAAUGGCGAAGGCAACUUACUGGACAUUCACUGACGCUCAGACACGAAGGCUAGGGUAGCGA